AGUAAAAGUCGUAACAAGGUUUCCGUAGGUGAACCUGCGGAAGGAUCAUUACGCGUAUUAGGGCGCUCCGGCGCUCUUUGCACACCCACCCUUUGCCUAUGCGUACCUCCAUAGCUUCCUCGGCGGGCUCGCCCCGCCGGCAGGAACCCCACAAACCACUUGCAUCCUACGCGAAAACUUCUGAUAACAACCCAAUAAAUCACAACUUUCAACAAUGGAUCUCUUGGUUCUGGCAUCGAUGAAGAACGCAGCGAAAUGCGAUAAGUAGUGUGAAUUGCAGAAUUCAGUGAAUCAUCGAAUCUUUGAACGCACAUCGCGGCCAUUGGUAUUCCUUUGGCCAUGCCUGUUCGAGCGUCAUUUACACCCUCAAGCCCCGGCUUGGUGUUGGGCGUCUGUCCCGCGGUUCCUCGCGCGGACUCGCCUCAAAGUCAUUGGCGGCGGUCGUGCCGGCUCCUCGCGCAGCACAUUUUGCGCUUCUUGGAAGCCCGGCGGAUCCGCGCUCCAGCAAGACCUCUCCACGACUUGACCUCGGAUCAGGUAGGGAUACCCGCUGAACUUAAGCAUAUCAAUAAGCGGAGGAAAAGAAACCAACAGGGAUUGCCCCAGUAACG
rnacentral:rRNA from 1 species